CAGGUUCAAACCUUUGCUACAAGUGCCACUUAAGUGGCAGACCUGACAGUUGUCACCAGUUAACGUUAUGUGAUCAGACUUCAGUCUGUUCGCUUCAACAAGUAACUAAUAUUCUUGGGCAUACUCGAUGGGAACAUGGUUGUGUUAAGAAAGCGCUUUGCAGUAGUAUAUCUCAGCAUGGAGGUUGUUCUUACUGUUGUGACUCUCAACUGUGUAAUAACAACUGUUCCAUAACACAUUCGGUAAUCACUUCACCAACUAUAGCUUCGACCACUACAACAGGACAACAGACCGCCCCAAGCGUUCAACACUUUAUUCAGCAUCCAACCAAUAUCAGAUAUGGUGAUACAGUUACAAUCCAAUGCGUUGUCACAGGAAAUCCUAAGCCAUCAAUAGAUUUCUUAUAUAAGGGUAGAAGAUUGAGCUCAAACGCGGUAGUAGAUCAGACUGUUCUUACAAUAACGAACUUUUUACCUCAUGAAGACGGCGAUUACAGAUGUGU